rnacentral:rRNA from 1 species
AUGUCUCCAGCGACCUGUCGUCGCGAGCUGCACCGAGCUGUGGAGGUGCUCCAAGCCUGGGCGCCCCCUCAACGGUCUGCAGCUGGUCGGCACUUGCAACGGGCUGCUCCGCCUGUGCGACAACACCAAGGGGGUCAGUGCACCAUCACCCUGCUCAACCCGGCCACCGGCGAGGAGCUUUCAGUCCGGCCGCUGCCAGGUUCGUCCAUCGGGACCCAUCGCUCCAUCGGGUGGGGCUACGCGUACAGCCUCGCAUACCACCCGAUCACGGGGCAAUAUAAGCUUGUGCACGUUCAGUUGAUCUACGACCAGAUAUGUGCGUUCAACGCCGUUCAUGUGCUCACGCUGGGGGAGGCCGAGUGGCGGGAGGUGCCAGUCGAGCCCGGCGACUCGAUUACCAUGCUUGCCGCUGGUAUCGUAAGCGUCGAUGGUACGACAUACUGGGUUAGGGUCACCGGGGGUGGCGCAGCAAAGAUCAUGUCGUUUGACCUCAACGACGAGCGUGAGCGUGUCGUCUCCACCACCAUACCGUUGCCAGUCCGACGUGAUCACUACCGCCUGUCGGAGGUGCAUGGAAGGCUGGGAUUUGUGGCCUGGCCUAACGUAUGGGUUUUGGAGAAAGGACAACGGUGGAGCCACCGGUACAACUUCAAGCAAGAUAUCCCACGGCGGCACUUUGUGUAUGGCAAGUACGUCCUAACAUAUGAACGACUCUUGUAUUAUAUAAGCACAUGCCGUCUUUAG